GCAAAUAUGCCUGUUCCACCUCAUCUUCUCUUCCUCAUCAAAAGACCCUUUCUCUUCUCUUCUUCUUCUUCUUCAUCUUCUUCUUCA
rnacentral:sRNA from 1 species